rnacentral:rRNA from 1 species
GGACUACUCGGGUAUCUAAUCCUGUUUGAUCCCCACGCUUUCGUGUAUGAGUGUCAGUAUUGGACCAGGUCGCCGCCUUCGCCACCGGUGUUCCUCCAGAUAUCUACGUAUUUCACCACUACACCUGGAAUUCCACGACCCUCUUCCAUACUCAAGUUUUACAGUUUUAAAUGCACUUCUUGGGUUAAGCCCAAGGCUUUCACAUCUAACUUGAAAAACAACCUGCACACGCUUUACGCCCAAUGAUUCCGAACAACGCUAGGACCCCCCGUCUUACCGCGGCUGCUGGCAC